GGGGUUGUAGCUCAGUAGUAGAGCACUUGUCUCGCAUGCAUGAAGAACUGGGUUUGAUUCUUAGCCCCA
rnacentral:tRNA from 1 species